AACGCACAUUGCGCCCGCCAGUAUUCUGGCGGGCAUGCCUGUCUGAGCGUCAUUUCAACCCUCACGCCCGGCUUCUUGUCGGGGGUGGUGUUGGGGAUCGGCCACCUGCUUGCGGGCGGCCGGCCCCGAAAUACAGUGGCGACCACGCCGUAGCCUCCUCUGCGUAGUAGUAAAAAACCUCGCGGGCGGAGAGCGGUGGGGCCUGCCGUAAAACCCCCAACUUUCUAAGGUUGACCUCAGAUCAGGUAGGAAUACCCGCUGAACUUAA
rnacentral:misc_RNA from 1 species